rnacentral:tRNA from 1 species
GCUUUCGUGGUGUAGUGGUCUACAUGCUUGAUGCGUAACCGAGAGGUCCGUGGUUCGAUUCCCGACGAAGGCG